UUGUCAGCGCCUACGUUUGGGCGAAGUCGAGCCAGCGGGCGUCGACUGGCUCCCCUCCCCCGGGCAUUAAGAUAGAAGUCUGGCUUUCCUCCUUUAAACGUGGAGGAGCCAUGCACUGCUAAUGUAGUACCUCUUGUUUUUGAUAAUUUCGCAUAAUGCAGUUCAUGACUACAAUGCUUCUUACUUUGAUUUUAUUGCGAAGAUGUCGGAUGAUGAAGACGAUGGGUGAUCGUGAUGGUGACACCCAGAGCUAGAAGGCCAUGAGGAGUUCAAUAUGAGAUCAACAAUGGUAUGAAGAAUAUCUGCUAUUGCGGGCGUGUUAUCUUUGAAGCAACUCAUUGAGAAGUUAGGCUUUAAUAAUGUGACUGAUAAGCCAGCUGCACUUAAAAUGAUGAGAGAUGUAUGUGAAUCUGUUCUUGAAUCCUCCGAAAGGAAGCAAAGCUAGUACAUAGUGGUGGUGAUAUCUUGAAGAGUUACAGAGUGGCCUUGCGGAGGCAGCUUGGGCAGGUUAACAAGGGAUUGCAUUGGAAUUAUUUCUGAUUAAGUAUUAGCUCUGGAUUACCACUAUUGUUGGUGUUAGUCCAGCUGUACGGGUGCCAUAACUACACUAUCUGGGUUGGCACUUCAGUUGAAUUCGGGAUUUAUUCUGGUCUGGUUCUCUCCUUAUGAUUGUCUUCUACUGUAUGACCUGGUAUAUCAUACUUCAAAACAUGUUGGGCCUAUUUUUUUGCGAUACUCAGUGAGGAUCAUGUGCAGGUGUGGGACUUGAUAAAUCUUGGAGAUUAUCUUAGUGCAAGGGAUGAUGUCGAUCCCUCUAGGAUAGGGAUUACUGGUGAAUCACUCGGAGGUACUAUAGAUCAUGAUUGCAUCAUGAUACUGAAUUAAUACAUAGACUUCACUUUUAGAAAACUUAUCCUUUUUAUUUGGAGCUGAAUAAAGGAAUGCGUGCAUUGUUUGCUGCUUUUUGUGGAUACACAGUACAGUGUUGUUGUUCCAAUAAUUGGUGUUCAGGUACACACAGCAGUAAUUUAUCGAUAUGGGUGCACAUAGUUUUGUGAUUUGUCCCAUGUAAGUAAAGCAAUGCUCUUUGUGGUGGCUACAGGGAUUUCAAUGUGCAAUAGAUAAGACAUAUGGCAAGCUAGAGUUGAUAGCAUUAAGCCUUUAUUUGAAGAAGCAAGAAUUGAUUCAGGGAAGAGUGAAAUAGAUGCAGAGGUUGUGAAAAAGGUUUAGGACAAGAUAGCACCUGCUAUGGCUUCACAGUUUGAUGCUCCCUACUAAGUUCCUCCGAUUGCACCACGUCCAAUCCUCCUAAAUGGUGCUGACGACCCUCGUUGCCCAGCCCUUGGUCUACAAGAACCUGCCACAAAAGCUGUUGAGGCUUAUGCAGAAGCUGGUUCUGCGGAUAAGUUCAAGGAUCCAACUAGCUCGACUGGACUCUAGAUCACGGACAAUUAAGUCUUGGCACUUAAUUAGGAUGGCUAAAUUACAUUUGAGUUUCAUUUGAUGGAUAUUUGCUAUGAGAAUUAUGAAUUUUAUGAAUCUACAUAUUAUAUGUAUGGUUUUGAAUAUUGUAAUUGAAUGCAUGCAUUUUUUUUAGGUU